rnacentral:rRNA from 1 species
AUUGAACGCUGGCGGCAGGCCUAACACAUGCAAGUCGAGCGGAUGAAGGGAGCUUGCUCCUGGAUUCAGCGGCGGACGGGUGAGUAAUGCCUAGGAAUCUGCCUGGUAGUGGGGGAUAACGUCCGGAAACGGGCGCUAAUACCGCAUACGUCCUGAGGGUGAAAGUGGGGGAUCUUCGGACCUCACGCUAUCAGAUGAGCCUAGGUCGGAUUAGCUAGUUGGUGGGGUAAAGGCCUACCAAGGCGACGAUCCGUAACUGGUCUGAGAGGAUGAUCAGUCACACUGGAACUGAGACACGGUCCAGACUCCUACGGGAGGCAGCAGUAGGGAAUAUUAGGCAAUGGGCGAAAGCCUGAUCCAGCCAUGCCGCGUGUGUGAAGAAGGUCUUCGGAUUGUAAAGCACUUUUAGUUGGGAGGAAGGGCUGUAAGUUAAUACCUUGCUGUUUUGACGUUACCAACAGAAUAAGCACCGGCUAACUACGUG